rnacentral:rRNA from 1 species
UACGUAGGGGGCUAGCGUUGUCCGGAAUCAUUGGGCGUAAAGCGCGCGUAGGCGGUCCGGUAAGUCCGCUGUGAAAGUCGGGGGCUCAACCCUCGAAUGCCGGUGGAUACUGUCGGGCUAGAGUGCGGAAGAGGCGAGUGGAAUUCCUGGUGUAGCGGUGAAAUGCGCAGAUAUCAGGAGGAACACCGAUUGCGAAGGCAGCUCGCUGGGACGUAACUGACGCUGAGGCGCGAAAGCGUGGGGAGCAAACAGG